rfam:Capsicum annuum cultivar Zunla-1 chromosome 10, whole genome shotgun sequence
UGCCGAUGAUGUGGACAAUACUGAAGAAGAUCUUUGAACCUCUACUAAGCAUGAUAAAAGUUCUUAUCUGGUUUCUGCUUGAAGCUCAAAAUCUCACUGCGUAGUCU